UACGUAGGGACCAAGCGUUGUUCGGAUUUACUGGGCGUAAAGGGCGCGUAGGCGGCGUGACAAGUCACUUGUGAAAUCUCCGGGCUUAACUCGGAACGGUCAAGUGAUACUGUCGUGCUAGAGUGCAGAAGGGGCAAUCGGAAUUCUUGGUGUAGCGGUGAAAUGCGUAGAUAUCAAGAGGAACACCUGAGGUGAAGACGGGUUGCUGGGCUGACACUGACGCUGAGGCGCGAAAGCUAGGGGAGCAAACAGG
rnacentral:rRNA from 1 species